AAGCUUCCUGGAUUUUUUUAGUGCACAACCAAAAAAAAUAAGAAAGCCAAGGCAACCCUCCACUCCCUACUCGUCACUGAUAUGUUGAACUCAUUCCCUCCAGAGUGACCCUGGACAACCAGAAGAUUCUGAUUAUGAAGUCAGACCUGGUAUUACAGAUGCUCCAAAGACCAAGUUCAAGAUCAAGGGUGGAAAGCAUUGAAUGUAAGGAAAUGCGAUUUGAUUAAGUCGGAAUUUUGCUGAAACUACAUGGAUGAUGUGUUGAGACAAUAUUAAAGCAGGCCUGUUUUUGAGCUUAAACUAUCAGCUUGAACUAUGUCUUGCCAAACUCAGCAAAAUCAAGCAUUGUCGUCUGCUGCAACUAUUGAAUAUAUAUAUGAACCUACAUCUGUCACCGCAAAGCUAAGGGUAAAAUGUUAUUUAAAAAAUGCUAAUGUAUAUAGUAUACGGUGUCUGGGUGAUAGAUACAACAGACCUUUGUAUCCGCGAGGAGUUUAUGUCAGAAUAAAGAGAAAAGGUCAGCAGUUUAUAUGUUUAAUUGAACUUUAUGGUAAAUUACAGCUCAUACAAUUAGGUAAAUAUUUUAACAUGCUUAAUUGUCUGAAUUGUACUUCUAAAAAUCCUUCUUUUAAACGUUUCUUUUGAUAUGUGAAGUGGUGUGCUCACAAUAAUUCUUGUCAUGGAGACUUCUUCUAUUUGAGUGCCUAAUAACGUUGUUGUUUGUAGGGGUUUAAGAAAAGUCCUUGUAGCAGGUGCAGUUCCUCCGAUUUGGGAUGGAAAUACCACAUCUAUUAGUGCUACAUGAUGUUAUGCGUACAGUAAACAUAUUCAAUAAGUCCCUUUAGUAUUUUUGUUUCUUUUGGCAUUCUUCUCAAAACAAGCUUGUAUUUUUCUUUUAAUUCUAUCGAAGUGAAUUUCUGGAAACAAAUGCUCUUUAUUGGUUUGAUAAUCUUAAGAUCUUCUCUGUUAUCUUGCAAAUUGAUAAAUGAGAUGAUCAUUGUUUUCCAUGUGUAGGCUUUAAGAUUUUAGCAUUCCCGCUCAAUCAAUUUGGAGGCCAAGAACCUGGCUCAAACCUGAAAUGAAGAAUUUUGCAUGUACAAGGUUCAAAGCUAAUACCCAAUUUUUGAUAAGGUGGAUGUGAAUGUUCCAAAUACAGCCCCAGUUUACCAGUUCCUCAAGAAGUUUUUUUUGUUGCUGCCUUGCUGUUGUUUUGUUGAUACUGAUGUUCUUCUGCUGAUAUUAUUGAUGUUCUACCGAGUGUUCUGUUGUUUUUCUGUUUGUUGACUUGGUUUGAAUUUUUAUUAAUUUCUAUUUAUGCAACAAUCCAGGCUUCUUCUAAGACGUUUUUUUUACAACUAUUCUAAGACAUGUUAUUUUUGUGUUUUUAUUUAGUUUUGGGCUUGCGGGUUGUUGCAAGCCCUAGGGUGUUUUUUUUGGUAGAGGUUGAGCAACAAUUGGUUCUCUUUUGGUUAAUAAUAUUAUUUGGAGUUGAUAAAUCUU